CCCCAUUUAAGAGCUGACUGCCACAGGGGAAGAUUUUCUUUCAGGAGAUCUCUCCCUUUGGAGUUUUUUUUACUGUAAGCCUAGGAUAUGGAUUUAGGUUUUCUUGUUCUGCUGAAUCCUUUAAUUAAAGCGCACCUAGGAAAGCUGGGAUGUCAGCAGAUGAUGUUUGUUGGAAGUGCUGCUGUGUGCUCACGAGAAUGCUGCAGAACUCGAGAGACAACGGAAUAUCCAUGUUUUCUGUUUAGCCUGGUGCUGAGAUCAAAGGAUCCAAAUGGUUGUGCGAGUGCGCUGCAGCUUCUGGAUAAAUUACUGAAAAUGUUAUUGUAAAAGUUAAACUGAUGUGACCCUUGUUUUCAUCAAUCUUAUAUUUAAUCUUUAUAUAGUGGCUUGUGUAGAAGGUUCUUGUACCGCUAUCCUUGAUACAAAGAUAGCACCAAUUAAAAUUCUACACUUGCAUAUAAUAAAGUGUGAUAUUUUUA